rnacentral:rRNA from 1 species
UACGGAGGGGGCUAGCGUUGCUCGGAAUUACUGGGCGUAAAGCGUGCGCAGGCGGCUUUGCAAGACAGAUGUGAAAUCCCCGGGCUUAACCUGGGAACUGCAUUUGUGACUGCAUGGCUGGAGUGCGGCAGAGGGGGAUGGAAUUCCGCGUGUAGCAGUGAAAUGCGUAGAUAUGCGGAGGAACACCGAUGGCGAAGGCAAUCCCCUGGGCCUGCACUGACGCUCAUGCACGAAAGCGUGGGGAGCAAACAGG